GGAAGGGUCGCAUAGUGGUCGAGUGCGUUCGCUUGGAAAGCGAAUAUAGCCGCAAGGUUAUCGUGGGUUCAAAUCCCACCCCUUCCG
rnacentral:tRNA from 1 species